GGAGCGCGAGUUGGCUGAAUUCUGGAUCAAUGUCGACCGUGAUCGAUUCAGAAACACCAGAUCAGUUGCAAUGCUCCUUUUGACAAGUUUCCCCUCCACAUACAUAUGUGAAGCCUCAUUUUCGGCAAUGAACUGUCUCAAAAAUGACGCAAGAAACAGAUUGUCUGACGCACACCUUGGCGAUUGUUUGAAGAUUGCCACAACAGAAUACAAACCAGACUUCAUGAAGGUUGCCUCCUCAUCCAGUCACUGCCAUCUCUCACACUGAUUGUGACUGACGUGGCUGAUAUGGUCCUGCAGAAUCCUCUAUCUCUCUUCAGUGACUGAUGUGGCUGAUGCGGUCUUGUAGAAUCCUGCACCUCUCUCUCUCUCUCUCUCUCUCUCUCCCCGGCUAGGAAGGUGGUUAGUUGUGUAUAGUUUGUCCAUUGCCCAUGUAUACUGCUUUUCCUGGCACUAGUGUGGCAGCAGAUAUAGUUGUGUGGCAGCUGAUGUUUUAUUUUACAUUUUUAAAGAAAGCUGAUGUUUUAUUUUACAUUUGUAAAGAAAGCUGAUGUUUUAUUUUACAUUUUUAAAGAAAGUGAUAAUUCUGUGCACUGUCUCCCUCCCUCCCUGUGUGUGUGUGUGUGUGUGUGUGUGUGUGUGUGUGUGUGUGUGUGUGGAGGAUGGUUGUUAGUUGUCCAUACUUUGUAAUACACAGCCCUUCUGGACACUUAAUAUUUGUUUUUUUUUUCAUAUUGCAAAAUGUUUGCUACUGCGAGUAGGCCUAAUAAAAAUUACUAUUUUUUUAGUA